UACGAAGGGGGCGAGCGUUGUUCGGAUUUACUGGGCGUAAAGGGCGCGCAGGCGGCAGACCAAGUCAGGCGUGAAAGCCCCGGGCUUAACCUGGGAGGUGCGUCUGGGACUGGUAUGCUAGAGUUCGGGAGAGGAGAGUGGAAUUCCCAGUGUAGAGGUGAAAUUCGUAGAUAUUGGGAAGAACACCGGUGGCGAAGGCGGCUCUCUGGACCGAGACUGACGCUGAGGCGCGAAAGCUAGGGGAGCAAACGGG
rnacentral:rRNA from 1 species